GACGAACGCUGGCGGCGUGCCUAAUACAUGCAAGUCGAACGAACCGCGACUAAGUGCUUGCACUAAGUCAAGGUGAGUGGCGAACGGGUGAGUAACACGUGGGUAACCUACCUCAUAGUGGGGGAUAACAGUCGGAAACGACUGCUAAUACCGCAUAGGACAUAGGAUCACAUGAUCCAGUGAGGAAAUGUGGCGCAAGCUAUCGCUAAGAGAUGGACCCGCGGUGCAUUAGCUAGUUGGUAGGGUAAAGGCCUACCAAGGCGAUGAUGCAUAGCCGACCUGAGAGGGUGAUCGGCCACAUUGGGACUGAGACACGGCCCAAACUCCUACGGGAGGCAGCAGUAGGGAAUCUUCCGCAAUGGACGCAAGUCUGACGGAGCAACGCCGCGUGAGUGAAGAAGGUCUUCGGAUCGUAAAGCUCUGUUGUUAGAGAAGAACAGCGCAUAGAGUAACUGCUAUGCGUGUGACGGUAUCUAACCAGAAAGCCACGGCUAACUACGUG
rnacentral:rRNA from 1 species